GGAGGAAUGGCUCAGUGGUUAAGAGCACUGGCUGCUCUUCAAGAGGACCUAGGUUUGAUUCCUGGUACCCUCU
rnacentral:tRNA from 1 species